GAGUUCCCUUGAACGCUUCAUUAAGGGUUGUAUCAUUCGUAUAAACAGAUAAUUCCAUACUGAAGUGUUUGGGGGAACUCC
rnacentral:pre_miRNA from 1 species